AGUUCAAAUUUUAUUGUUUGAAAAGAAGAUUUAUACUUUGUAACAAGACUGUAUUUAGCGGGAAGAAUAUCUCGAAAGAGGUGAGAGCUAUAAUUAUUGAAAAACGACCAAGAUUUGAGAACAUGCUCCGUUCCCAAGCAUCAGACACCAUGCAUCUUCAAUCUUCAAUAUCUUAUCGUCGCUGUUUGCUAUUAUUAUUAUGCAACGAUGGAAUCGUGAAAAUUAGGGGUGUCAAAAUGGGUUGUGUUUAAUGGAUUGAUCCAAACCAAACCAACCCAUGGUUCUAAUGAGUUAAUAAUUUGGAUCUUAAUGGAUUAAUGGUUUUUAUGGGUUAGUGGGUUUAGUGAGUUGGAUUAAUAUUGGUUUAGAUCAAAAUGGGUUUAUGGGUUAUCCAAUCCAAACCAAUUUUUUCACACACGUUGUUUCUCUUCGUCUUUCUCUCCCUUUUUUCUUAUCUCACGAAACUUGAUCUCUCUUUUUCGAUCUCGCUAGACCUUCAUCAUCGAUCACGACAUCGAUUCACACCUUUUGGGUCAUUGAUUUUGGGUUAUCAAUCACAACACAGCAACUCAUCUUCUUUGUGAGACGGUUGUUAUUAGACCGAGUCCAAAUGAUGUGGAAGACAUGAUCACAUGUCCACCAAAGGAGUGAAAACAAUGGGCAUUAGAGAAGUGAAGGAAGCGAUGAAGUGGCUCGAUUGGAAUUAGAGACUUUUGUUUGUGUUCUAUUAUCAAACGACGAGAGUUCUUGCUAAUGUGUAAUGGUGAAGACUAGAGAGGCAAUCUUGUUUUUCUUGCUAGACAUUUGAUUUUCUGUUAUUUCAAAUAUUUUGACGAGUUAUAUUAUAUAACUUGAGAAAAGAAAA